rnacentral:tRNA from 1 species
UCCCUGGAGGAUUAGUGGUUAGGCCACAGCGCUCUCACUGCUGCGGCCCAGGAUCGAUUCCUGGCCAGGGAA